rnacentral:rRNA from 1 species
UACGUAGGCAGCGAGCGUUGUUCGGAAUUACUGGGCGUAAAGAGUGUGUAGGCGGUGUUCCCAGUCUGUUGUGAAAUCUCCCGGCUUAACUGGGAGGGUGCAGCGGAAACUAGAAUGCUAGAGGGUGGGAGAGGUAAGCGGAAUUCCUGGUGUAGCGGUGAAGUGCGUAGAUAUCAGGAGGAACACCUGUGGUGUAGACAGCUUACUGGACCACUUCUGACGCUGAGACACGAAAGCGUGGGUAGCAAACAGG